UGUUGUGAAAUGUUGGGUUAAGUCCCGCAACGAGCGCUACCCCUAUCCUUAUUUGCCAGCGCGUUAUGGCGGGAACUCUAAGGGGACUGCCGGUGAUAAACCGGAGGAAGGUGGGGACGACGUCAAGUCAUCAUGGCCCUUACGGGAUGGGCUACACACGUGCUACAAUGGCGUAUACAGAGUGCUGCAAUACCGCGAGGUGGAGCGAAUCACAUAAAGUACGUCGUAGUCCGGAUUGGAGUCUGCAACUCGACUCCAUGAAGUCGGAAUCGCUAGUAAUCGUAGAUCAGAAUGCUACGGUGAAUACGUUCCCGGGCCUUGUACACACCGCCC
rnacentral:rRNA from 1 species